GACGAACGCUGGCGGCGUGCUUAACACAUGCAAGUCGAACGGUAAGGCCCUUCGGGGUACACGAGUGGCGAACGGGUGAGUAACACGUGGGUGAUCUGCCCUGCACUUCGGGAUAAGCCUGGGAAACUGGGUCUAAUACCGGAUAGGACUCCUGCCUGCAUGGGUGGGGGUGGAAAGCUUUUGCGGUGUGGGAUGGGCCCGCGGCCUAUCAGCUUGUUGGAGGGGUGAUGGCCUACCAAGGCGACGACGGGUAGCCGGCCUGAGAGGGUGGCCGGCCACACUGGGACUGAGAUACGGCCCAGACUCCUACGGGAGGCAGCAGUGGGGAAUAUUGCACAAUGGGCGCAAGCCUGAUGCAGCGACGCCGCGUGAGGGAUGACGGCCUUCGGGUUGUAAACCUCUUUCAGCACAGACGAAGCGCAAGUGACGGUAUGUGCAGAAGAAGGACCGGCCAACUACGUGCCAGCCGCCGCCGUAA
rnacentral:rRNA from 1 species